rnacentral:rRNA from 1 species
UACAGGGGGUGCAAACGUUGCUCGGAAUCAUUGGGCGUAAAGCGCACGUAGGCGGUUCGUUAUGUCGGAUGUGAAAGCCCUUGGCUUAACCGAGGAAGUGCAUCCGAAACUGGCGAGCUAGAGUACUAAAGAGGAUCGCGGAAUUCCCGGUGUAGAGGUGAAAUUCGUAGAUAUCGGGAGGAACACCGGUGGCGAAGGCGACUACCUGGCCUGUUUCUUGACGCUGAGGCGCGAAAGCUAGGGGAGCAAACGGG